CAUUAGAGAGCUAAAUCUCAGCAUAGAGCUUUUAACUCUAGGAUAACAUAAUAAAUGUUUCUAAUGA
rnacentral:tRNA from 1 species